rnacentral:rRNA from 1 species
GAUGAACGCUGGCGGCGUGCUUAACACAUGCAAGUCGAACGGGAAUUAUUUUAUUGAAACUUCGGUCGAUUUAAUUUAAUUCUAGUGGCGGACGGGUGAGUAACGCGUGGGUAACCUGCCUUAUACAGGGGGAUAACAGUCAGAAAUGGCUGCUAAUACCGCAUAAGCGCACAGAGCUGCAUGGCUCAGUGUGAAAAACUCCGGUGGUAUAAGAUGGACCCGCGUUGGAUUAGCUUGUUGGCAGGGUAACGGCCUACCAAGGCGACGAUCCAUAGCCGGCCUGAGAGGGUGAACGGCCACAUUGGGACUGAGACACGGCCCAGACUCCUACGGGAGGCAGCAGUGGGGAAUAUUGCACAAUGGGGGAAACACUGAUGCAGCGACGCCGCGUGAAGGAAGAAGUAUCUCGGUAUGUAAACUUCUAUCAGCAGGGAAGAUAGUGACGGUACCUGACUAAGAAGCCCCGGCUAACUACGUG